rnacentral:rRNA from 1 species
CCUCUUCAGUAGGUAGGGGGGGGGCUGGAAAUCCUUGCUGUAGCGGUGGAAAAACAGCAGAUAUCAGCAGGGAGCAACGGCGGGGGAAGGAGGGUCUUUUUGUCCGUUUCUCCCGCUGAGGAGGGAAAAACAAUCGUGAGCGGACCAGAAUUAUUACCCCCGUAGUCCCUUCCCGGCAAAAAUUGGGCGCUAGGUGUGGGGGCUUUCCUUCCGUUUUUCGCGCCGUACUUACACAUUAAUCGCCCCCCCUGGGGAGUACGACCCGCAAGGCUUAAACUCAAAGGAAUUGUCGGGGGGGCCGCACAACCGGCGGAGCAUGUUGCUUAAUUCUUCCCAGCGCGAAGAACCUUACCAAGGUUUGACAUCACCCGUGGACGUGCAGAAAUGUGGGGUCAUUUAGUUGUUGGGUGACAACAGGUGCAUCGCUGUCGUCAGCUCGUGUCGUGAGAAGUUGGGUUAAUUACCGCACCGAGCGCAACCCUUCUUCCAUGUUGCCAGCACGUAGUGGUGGGGACUCAUGGGAGACUGCCGCGGUCAACUCCGAGGAAGGUGGGGGCGACGUCAAGUCAUCAUGCCCCUUAUUUCUUCGGCUGCAAACAUGCUACAAUAGCCGGUACAAUGGGGGUGGGAAACCGUCAGGUGGAGCGACUCCCUAAAAGCCGGUCUCAGUUCGGAUUGGGGUCUUCAACUCCUCCCCAUGAAGGAGGAGUCGCUAGUAAUCACGGAUCAUCAACGCCGCGGUGAAUAAGUUCCCGGGCCUUGUACUCCCCGCCCAUCACCCCUUCCCCCGUCGGUAACACCCGAAACUUGUGGUCCAUCCCCUUGUGGGAGGGACCCCACUUAAGGUGGACCUGAAAGGGACCG